rnacentral:rRNA from 1 species
UACGUAGGGUGCAAGCGUUGUCCGGAAUUAUUGGGCGUAAAGAGCUCGUAGGCGGCUUGUCGCGUCGGCUGUGAAAACCUGGGGCUCAACCCCGGGCCUGCAGCCGAUACGGGCAAGCUAGAAUUCGGUAGGGGAGACUGGAAUUCCUGGUGUAGCGGUGAAAUGCGCAGAUAUCAGGAGGAACACCGGUGGCGAAGGCGGGUCUCUGGGCCGAUAUUGACGCUGAGGAGCGAAAGCUAGGGGAGCGAAUGGG